UUUUGCUUUGGGUUUUCCCUCCUAUAAAUGUUUUAAAAGGUAGAAACAGAAAGUUUUUUGAAGAAAUACCUUUAAAAUACAUCGUGAAUUUUGAGGAAAAAUCAACAAACAAAGCCUGACUGCACCAGCUUUUCUUUAAAAAAACAAAAAAGGUCUAAGUAUUUUUCGGUUUGUAAAAGUUACCCCAGGAGUUUGGUUUUCUUUGUUAACAGUCUUUUCUCUGUUUGUAAAUAAUAAGUCUCAACUAAGUCUUCAGUCCUGAGACAUACCCCUCCCCUCUACCUUUCACUUAAACUUUUUAUAUUUCUAAUUUUGGAUUUCUUUCAGGAUCCAGGCAGUUGAGACAGGAUACUCCAAAUAAGGAACCUAACCCACCCAUCCUGACCACAAGUAACCCUUUGAAGGGUUCCUGCCAGGUUCCAUCUUUUUCAAAAUCCUUAUGUCUUAGAAGAAGAGAUGAGACUUCCUCUAUUUACAUGUUUCCUUUUUUUGCAUAGUCACCACAUACCGACGAGAUGAAGCUUCAAGAAGGCAGGCAAGGGACACAGGAAGUGGGAGCCCUUCCCCAGGCGCCUCCCCCCCCCCCCCCGCGCCCAGCCUCGACCGGAAGGACCUCGGAUGUCGGUCACCGUUACCGUGUGACUCCUUUAGGAGUCUUUGUUCUUUUGUAUAUAUUGUACCCUUUUGAAUAAAGACUUCAGUUAGCCUCUUACACAGCACCUGAUGAAGCCUCUGGCUGAAAGCGCUAGUGCUUUGAGUUAACUGUUAAUUUUAAGGAUUUACAUGGUGUCUUUGAAAAGGGUCCUGCUGGAAGAUCCUGUGGGGUACCAAACUGUCCUCGGAGCUUUUCCUGGUAGCCUCUGGUGGACAGCACUCUCACCCCUC
rnacentral:lncRNA from 1 species